UGCUAUGUAAAUACCUGUCAUAAUAUAUCGUUUUUAUUCUUGAAUUAUUCCUAUGGUUUUUUCCUGAAUAUUUUGGAUGCAUCACUAGUUGAAGCCAUGGAUAUGAAAUCCUUAUAUACAAAAGGCCCACUGUAUUGUGUCAAAAUUUGAGCAUCACACUUCAAGAAGGAAAUCAACAAGUUGGAACACAUUCAGAAAAAGAUAUUUAGGGCUGAAGAAACAUCAGGUUAUACACUUACAAGAAGAAUCGAUAGAGGAGACAGCAUGUGAACUGGAUUUGUGAGAUUGGACAGAAAAACCGGAAAAAUGUCUUGGAAUCAGGGGUGAAUAAAGUGUGCUCUGCAGACUGUAAGUCUAGUUGGAGUGGAUAUUUAAAAAGUAAUUAUAUAUAAUGUAUAUUCUUUUCUGUGGAUAUGCAACUGAUUAUGGUUCUAACACUUUCUGCCCCAUUCCUAGACCCACUGAGAUCACAAAACAACUAACGAUUUGUAAACCAACAUGUGUGGCAACUCACUGAGUAAUGAAAAGAUAAGAAGGGAAUCAUUCUUCUGGGAAAGGAAGAAUCAUUGUGUCACACAAUCCUACCUAAGUUGUUUCAUGAAGCAGAAACUCCUCCACUUGGAUGGGCUGGUAAUGAAAGGAACUUUCAUAGCCCUCUGAUUCCCUGCCAGGGAUUCCCCAUGGGUCAAAGCCAAUGGGAUGCCUCCUUCUGAAGCCACAGGAGCCUGUUGAUAGAGUUCAGAGAGGACAUCCUCCCCAGGCAGAGAACAGCGUAGAAAAGUGAAGAAUGGAUCAGUUGGAGCAAGUCCGAAGUAUCUGGCACAGGUAAGUGAGAGUCAGCCCAAAGAUUGGCCAAGUAGCACAUCUUUCACAUAGAAAAUAGAACUAUCAAAUAGUCAAAGGUUGGUACUACGAAGGAAUAGUCUACUCAAAAUGAGAAGUGUCUAAUAUAUAUAGAAUGUCCUAAAAAAUCUAUAUGCA
rnacentral:lncRNA from 1 species